AUGUGGAAGAAGGUUAUGGAUAUGAUGAAUCAUGUGAGGUUGUUGAAGUUGCAGAUGAGAAUGCAGGGAAAUUUAGAGGUUUGGAGCAGUUUGCAGCAAGUUCUUGGACAAAUUUGGGACAGGUUUCAACAAGGUUUUUGGACUAUUUUACAAAGUCAUUUUCUGGUUUAUGCAGGGUUGUUUUUUGUAGUUUUGUGGGCAGCAGUAGUAGAAAGAUUUCUUGGAAAUAUUUGGACUAUUUUUGUGCAAAGUUUAGACGGUUUUGGGAAGCAGCACAUUUGA